rnacentral:rRNA from 1 species
GUCUAUAUACGUAUAGCAUAUCAAUAAGCGGAGGAAAAGAAACUAACUAGGAUUCCCUCAGUAACGGCGAGUGAAGCGGGAAGAGCUCAAAUUUGAAAUCUUCAAGGUUCUACCUUGACGAAUUGUAGUUUAAAGAAGUGUUUUCUGUUGGAAUUUUGGUAAAAGUUCUUUGGAAAUAGGACAUCAAUAGAGGGUGAGAAUCCCGUAUUUGACCAUUAUUUCCAACUUUGUGAUACACUUUCAAAGAGUCGGAUUGUUUGGGAAUGCAGUCCAAAAUGGGUGGUAAAUUUCAUCUAAAGCUAAAUAUUGGCGAGAGACCGAUAGCGAACAAGUACCGUGAGGGAAAGAUGAAAAGAACUUUGAAAAGAGAGUUAAACAGUACGUGAAAUUGUCAAAAGGGAAGCGUUUGACACCAGUGUUGUUUUCUCGAAAAUCAAUUAAAAAUGACAUGAUUUUGUGUUGUAUUGACCUUUAUCAAGCUUUCUUCACUUUUUUCAUUGUCUUUUUUAAUGCACUUUUCGUUUAACAAGUCAACAUCAAUUUCUUUUGUUGUAAAAGGGUCAUUGGAAGGUGGCUUUCUUUUCGGAGAAAGUGUUUAUAGCCUUUGACUUCUGCAAUCGGAGAGAUUGAGGUCUGCAGCGUAGAUCCUUCGGGGUUAGAUAGCAUUUGUGCUAAGUUAUAGCCUUUCAUAGACAACUUGUUGACUAUGAUCAGUCAUGUAGCUUACUCGCUUAUGCUAUUUUACCUACGCUUAGGAUGUUGACGAUCAGCUGAGCGCG